GCAGCACGCGCGGAGCAGCUUGGCGCAUCAGCGGAAACUCGCGGCCGA
rnacentral:ribozyme from 1 species